rnacentral:rRNA from 1 species
UACGUAGGGUGCAAGCGUUAUCCGGAUUCACUGGGUUUAAAGGGUGCGUAGGUGGGUCUGUAAGUCCGUGGUGAAAUCUCCGAGCUUAACUUGGAAACUGCCAUGGAUACUAUAGAUCUCGAAUACUGUGGAGGUUAGCGGAAUAUGUCAUGUAGCGGUGAAAUGCUUAGAUAUGACAUAGAACACCAAUUGCGAAGGCAGCUGGCUACACAAAUAUUGACACUGAUGCACGAAAGCGUGGGGAUCAAACAGG